UUUUAAUUCACCAAUUCAUCAAUCUCUCUCAAUCUCUCUCAAGCUCUCUUUCAAUCUUUCUAGUGCAAGUGCUUAAAUUUUUGUUGCAAAUUCGUGAAUCAUUGUGAAGUUGUUGAAUUGAUGUUUUCAAGUGUUCAAUUACAACGAUUUUCAAUUUUCAAGAAGUUGUUUGUCAAUCCUGUAAACUCGUUUCAACUCUUACGUGCUAAGAAUAUUUGU
rnacentral:lncRNA from 1 species